GCUGUUAUGGCUCAGUUGGUAGAACCACCUUGGUAAGGUGGAGGGCCCGGGUUCGAAUCCCGGUAACAGCUCCA
rnacentral:tRNA from 1 species